rnacentral:rRNA from 1 species
UACAGAGGCCCCAAGCAUUAUCCGGAAUCACUGGGCGUAAAGGGUGUCGAGGCGGUCGUAUUAGUCCUUCGUAAAAUCUACGAGCUUAACUUGUAGUGGGCGAGGGAAACGGUACGACUUGAGGUUUGGAGAGGUGCGUGGAACUCACGGUGUAGGGGUGAAAUCCGUUGAUAUCGUGGGGAACACCAAAGGCGAAGGCAGCGCACUGGCCAAAAUCUGACGCUCACACACGAAAGCCAGGGGAGCGAACGGG